rnacentral:lncRNA from 1 species
GAGGCUUUAAAUCACAUCAAACAAUGCUAAAAUAAUGAAUCAACCUCCAAUCCAAGCUUGAUGAACUUUGAAGUAUCCAACUUCUAUUUCUGAUACCGAAACCUAUCAAAUCACGUCUGAUUUACUUCAAAUUUUGCACACAAGUCCAAAAUGACAUGAUGAAGCCACAAAAAUUCUAAAAAUUCCAUUCUGAGCCUCGGAUCAAAAUCUCACCUAUCAAUCAGAAUUUUCCAAAUUUCUAAGUUCGCCAAAAUAGGCUAAUAUCCACACAAAGCCUCUAAAUUCACUUCUGAUUGCUCUCCUAAGCCUUAAAUCAUCCCCCGAAACUAUUCAAACAAUCAG